rnacentral:rRNA from 1 species
CCUACGGGGGGCUGCAGUGGGGAAUAUUGCACAAUGGGCGAAAGCCUGAUGCAGCGACGCCGCGUGAGGGAUGACGGCCUUCGGGUUGUAAACCUCUUUCAGCAGGGAAGAAGCGAAAGUGACGGUACCUGCAGAAGAAGCGCCGGCUAACUACGUGCCAGCAGCCGCGGUAAUACGUAGGGCGCAAGCGUUGUCCGGAAUUAUUGGGCGUAAAGAGCUCGUAGGCGGCUUGUCACGUCGGAUGUGAAAGCCCGGGGCUUAACCCCGGGUCUGCAUUCGAUACGGGCUAGCUAGAGUGUGGUAGGGGAGAUCGGAAUUCCUGGUGUAGCGGUGAAAUGCGCAGAUAUCAGGAGGAACACCGGUGGCGAAGGCGGAUCUCUGGGCCAUUACUGACG